UAGCCUACCGGUUAAGGCUAUGGAUCGCCAAUCCGGAGACGGCGGGUUCGAUUCCCGU
rnacentral:tRNA from 1 species